CUAAAUCCUUGUUCGAGGUAUCUGUCUUUGUUGAGAGCCAAAACUACAGACUAUUUGCAAUGGAGAAACUGUUUAUGUAGACAUAUAAGGGCACUAGUUUAUGCAAGAAAUUUUAGAAGCUUUGCUAAGAUGACACUUCAAUCAGUACUUAACAAUGUUGUAAAUGCUAGAUGGUUCUCAGAGCCUCUUAUUUAUUUAAAACAUUUUUUACAACUUUAAAACUAUUUUUAUACUAGAUAAAUCUUUUCAAACACUAAUCAUUACGAGUAAACAUUAAAAAAAAAAUCUCUGUAUAAAUGUGGAUAAAAGCAUCCUUUUUCUUUUGUAGUUUGUAUUCCAAACCAACCCUUCUCUCUCUCUCUCUCUCUCUCUCUCUCUCUUUAAACCAAGUCAGGAGUUCUGGCAGUUUUACCAGGGAAUUUUGACAAAUAGAAAAAUUUGACUGGAUAUCUUCCCCUGCUCCCCCCAUAUCCUGUCUCGCCCCAUACCCCCGCCAUGUGUGAUUCAGGAGAAGUUUGAGCUGAGAUGGCUUGCCAGCUGAGGAAGUCAGAACACAGAUACUGAUGAUAUGAUCGUGCAUGCCCAUUUCAGACAGACAGAAACAGCGCUUUGCUGAAACCCUUCUGGGAGUUCGUGGCCCUGCAGUAAAUCUUUCUCUGCUCCAACUCCGUUUUGGUUUGUUUGGCCUCGCUGUGCAUCAGACACCUGAACGUGCCUUUGGUAACAGUAAGCCCUUGAUAGGUUUGCUGUGUCCUACAGCUCCAGGAGUUGGUGAUGGACAGGGAAGCCUGGCGUGCUGCAGUCCAUGGGGUCGCAAAGAGUCGGACACAACUGAGUGACUGAACCGAAAUGAACAGAGUCACCAGGUGAAAGUAAUCCAGACGUCCUUGCCAUUGGUUCGGCCAGCUUCCAGCCCAAGAGAGGUUCUUUGCUUCCUUCGUUCCCAGAACCAUCUGCUGACCAGUCUGAGGUUAAACAAACCAUUCGUUCAGCUUUCCUCCGCCAACCGGCUACAUAGAGACAGAUUGAAGUUCAAUGAUGAAUACAAUUCCUCAUUGAGAGGAUACGGGCUCAUCAGCAUGCACCAAUGGCCUGCCUCACGUUCAGAAAAACAAAGAUGAGAGCAGCUAUGGAAAGCAAUUGAUAUUCCUGCCCAGGUUGGAGUUGAUGUGCAAAUGGAUAAACACAAUGUUACCAUUCCAAGGAAACUAUCUGGAAUCACACCAGCAGGGGUUUGAUGCUGAAUUUCCUCCUGUUUUUAGCUCCGUUGUCAUUUCAGAAGCUGAGAAACCAAGAAUCUCCUAGAGAUGUAUUAAGGGAUUCCAACCCCUAACAGGGG